CAUAUACUCCCUCCGUCCCAAAAUUCUUGUCUUAAAUUUUUCUAAAUACGGAUGUAUCAAGUCACGUUUUAGUGUUAGAUACAUCCGUAUCUAGACUAAUCUAAGACAAGAAUUUUGGGACGGAGGGAGUACUAU
rnacentral:pre_miRNA from 1 species